UACGUAGGGGGCUAGCGUUGUCCGGAAUCAUUGGGCGUAAAGAGCGUGUCGGCGGUCCGGUAAGUCCGCUGUGAAAGUCGGGGGCUCAACCCUCGAAUGCCGGUGGAUACUGUCGGGCUAGAGUGCGGAAGAGGCGAGUGGAAUUCCUGGUGUAGAGGUGAAAUGCGCAGAUAUCAGGAGGAACACCUAUUGCGAAGGCAGCUCGCUGGGACGUAACUGACGCUGAGACGCGAAAGCGUGGGGAGCAAACAGG
rnacentral:rRNA from 1 species